rnacentral:lncRNA from 1 species
AAGCUUCAUAUUACAAGACAUGGGCCUUGAGGGCUCGAAUACAUAAGCUCGAAUACACACGACUCAGCAGAAGCAAACUAUAUCUGAGUACAGACAAAAAUAAACAAGUUUUCCUUCAGAAAGCUAGCACAAACAUAACAUCUGAUCGAAAAGGGAAGGCCUCCUACCUAGGAGCCUUCUAACUACUCAACAGCCUCCAUGUAGUAGGAAGCUCCGUCAUGGUAGUAGUAGUCACCAGCGUGAUCAACUGACUCCUCGGCUCCGUCAUCUCGGCAUGACGAUCGUAUCAAGAGGAAAAAGGGGAUCAAAGCAAUGUUGAGUACUCAUCCAAAGUAUUCGCAAGACCGACAUCAGAACUAUGCUAAUUAUAAAUCAGUAUCAAAGGAACAGCGAUGUAUCUUUGGACUGAACUGCAUAAAUGCCAGAAUAGAGGAGGAAUACCUAGUCCUAUCGAAGACUAGCUUUUUAGGUUCUUGCAGCAUUAGAAGAGUGUAGAUCAAUAACACAUAUGUAAUAAUUAUGUUGCAACCAAUUUAUUAAAUAUGCCGAGAGAUCCUUCCUCGACUCUUUCUGAGAAAUAAAUCACGGGGCCAACAUUUCACUUUUAGUCACACUUCUAGUUGUAUAAGAUCGGGAUACAACUCUGAGCGCCCGUUACCGUGGACACGGGUAUUCGAAUAGAUAUACUUCCCUACAGGGGUGCACAAACUUAGCCAACAUGCUCAAUCAACUCCGGCUGGACACACUUUCCUGCGUCAUGCCCGACCUCGGCCAAUCAACACGUUGUAGUCCUACCAUGGCUUAAAACAGAAGUAACACACUAGUCUACAUCCUAAUCACAAAGGAAUCAUAGGCCAUCUCGAUUCACAAUCAUACGCAUUAGAAGGACGGUAGAUGCGAGUCUUGGCACCUCUUUAUACAAAGAUGAUGCUUACGCUGACCACCAGGGCGCGUGCUGCUCAACUAUGACAUCUGAAAAGCUUUUGGGCGAAUAUACGACGCAGAGUGCCCAUACUUAUUCCCGCGUGGUGGUUAGUGCAAAACAGGCCAAAGACCUUCUUAGAUCACAUAUCCAAACCCAUUAAUGUUUUGUUAACUGUGGCGACGAUCAAUGAUCCACGAUAUGUGGUCGCACCGCCCCGUCUCAAGAACUUGUGGCAAGGGCCAAGAAUUCCCAGCCACACUUUG